GGUAUACCUAAAAAUAUAAAAUUAUUAAUUUAAUUGAACAGUAUUAAAAUCAAAUCAACGAAAAAUAAAAAAUAAAAUGUUACUUGGGUCAUUGACAAUAUUUCCGAUGACGAACCACAAGCGUACAUAGCAUUUUGAUAGCGACUGGCAGUAGGUGAAAAUUCUGCUUUUAUGUGUCCAUCGAUGGCUGUAAAAAUUUUUAUCAUAAAUAAAUAAAUCUUAUUACCUACUUAUAUUAAUAAAAGUUAUUAUAAUUGAACACUUACAUAUAUUUCCCUCAACAUCCCUGAUGGUAUCAAAGUUGACUUGCCUUGGCGGUACAACCGGUGGUCCAGCCAACAUGGUAUGAACUCCCAAGAAAUUAAAAGUUGUGUUGGGUUGUAUGAUUAUUUCAUACGGCAAGAAUCCUUGAGACUCGAGCAGCUUUGGAAAUUUCGAUGACUUGCAUAAGCCUUUAUUCACAUGAAGUCUCUGCAAAGCGAAUAAAAUAUAAUUUGAUAAAUAACUUGUGGUUGGUGUCUGUCGAUCAACUCCUUACCCUAUAUCAGACACAUUACUUUCUUUGUUCCGUUACUCAAUCCAAAUUUGAAUAAAUCAAAUGAUUCUG